rnacentral:rRNA from 1 species
UACGGAGGAUCCGAGCGUUAUCCGGAUUUAUUGGGUUUAAAGGGUGCGUAGGCGGGGCAGCAAGUCAGUGGUGAAAUCUUUCGGCUUAACUGAAAAACUACCAUUGAAACUGUUGUCCUUGAGUAUAUUUGGAGUGGGCGGAAUGUGUCAUGUAGCGGUGAAAUGCUUAGAUAUGACACAGAACACCAAUCGCGAAGGCAGCUCACUAAACCAUAACUGACGCUGAAGCACGAAAGCGUGGGGAUCAAACAGGAUUAGAUACCCU